AGACAAAAUUUUACUGUCAGUUACACCAGGGAAAACCCAGGCAAGUCUGUUCAGGUCAAUGGCCUUACUCUGAAUUCCCCCAGUGUGAAGGAGAGCAGAAUGUGGUCCAUAAGCUGAGGGCAUAAAGAGUGGCAUGGCCUCAACCAUCUCUCGGUUCCUUUACCAGUAAAAAGUCCCAUAGCUGCAGGACUCUGGAAAAGGGGAGAAGGAUGGCAGCCACUAUAGGGUACAGAGCUGUGAACCAGCCCAUAGGAUCCAAAGAAGGGGUUAAAGAAGCCAG